rnacentral:rRNA from 1 species
UGGGGAAUAUUGGACAAUGGGCGAAAGCCUGAUCCAGCCAUGCCGCGUGUGUGAAGAAGGUCUUCGGAUUGUAAAGCACUUUAAGUUGGGAGGAAGGGCAGUAAGCGAAUACCUUGCUGCUUUGACGUUACCGACAGAAUAAGCACCGGCUAACUCUGUGCCAGCAGCCGCGGUAAUACAGAGGGUGCAAGCGUUAAUCGGAAUUACUGGGCGUAAAGCGCGCGUAGGUGGUUCGUUAAGUUGAAUGUGAAAGCCCCGGGCUCAACCUGGGAACAGCAUCCAAAACUGGCGAGCUAGAGUAGGGCAGAGGGUGGUGGAAUUUCCUGUGUAGCGGUGAAAUGCGUAGAUAUAGGAAGGAACACCAGUGGCGAAGGCGACCACCUGGGCUCAUACUGACACUGAGGUGCGAAAGCGUGGGGAGCAAACAGG